UGGGGAAUAUUGGACAAUGGGGGGAACCCUGAUCCAGCCAUGCCGCGUGUGUGAAGAAGGCCUUAUGGUUGUAAAGCACUUUAAGCGAGGAGGAGGGUACUGGUAUUAAUACUACCAGGUACUGGACGUUACUCGCAGAAUAAGCACCGGCUAACUCUGUGCCAGCAGCCGCGGUAAUACAGAGGGUGCGAGCGUUAAUCGGAUUUACUGGGCGUAAAGCGUGCGUAGGCGGCUAAUUGAGUCGGAUGUGAAAUCCCCGUGCUUAACUUGGGAAUUGCAUUCGAUACUGGUUAGCUAGAGUGUGGGAGAGGGUGGUGGAAUUCCAGGUGUAGCGGUGAAAUGCGUAGAGAUCUGGAGGAAUACCGAUGGCGAAGGCAGCCAUCUGGCCUAACACUGACGCUGAGAUACGAAAGCAUGGGGAGCAAACAGG
rnacentral:rRNA from 1 species